UGAUAGUAGAGCAUUUGGUUAUGACGGGC
rnacentral:piRNA from 1 species